UCUUUUGCCCUGUAAAGUAACAGAUUCCCAGAGUUCAAGGUUGAGGACAUGGACAUUUUGGGGAAGGUGGGUAUUUUUCUGCCUGCCAGAAAUUAAACAUUCUUCCACUUAGCAUGGCAUUGCCUUUGGGAUUUCAGGCUAUAACUACAACUAGCGAUUCUGCAUUCGUCUAGAUAUUUGUUGAGCACCUACUGUGCACCUGGUGCCAUGCUGAGUGUUACAACUGCAGCAGUGACUAGAACAAUCACCCUUGUGAAUGAGACACAGGCCCUCAAGCCUACCCUGCCCGCCCUACCUGUGGGCGCUGGAGCUUACCAUACAUAUCAAAGGCCCUCCUGGGCACCUGCCCCACUUUCUUUCCUGUGAGUGGCACAGUGUAGACUGCUUUCACCCAUCAAUCUUAGGGCCACUUUGAUUGCUGGGUUCCGAGGGUGGCCUCUGCAGGCACUCAGAGAUGGGAAGUCCCCUCUCUCAGGGCCGUUGGUUCUUGUACAGGCUAAGAACAGAGGUGUUGAGGCCACUCUGAAAGUCAACCAGAAAGUCCUGCUGCACAUGAAGGCUCUUCACCAUGACAGAUCACAGCGUGGUGAAGUCUGGCAUAACCUGGCCCUGGACGUGGCUCACUCCUUCCAGCUGAGGUUUCCCCAAGCCCUGAAUGUGGACGGGGACAUUGUCUUCAGACAGAGUCACGAGGGAGCAUUUGACUGUGGCGUGGAUGCACGAGCUACCAUCAACCGCAACAUCACGUCCCAGGUCUCGGUCCAGCUGAAUGGAUCUGACUCCCACUCGGUGGUUUCCUUGCAGCUCAGACGUCCCCGUGGACCCACGUUUCCUCCAGACUUACAGGUACAGAUGGUGGUCCCUUCAGGAUGACCUCAGUUACCUGCCAAGUGUUGUCUUGGAGCAGCCAGCUUGCUGGGAGAUGGAG
rnacentral:lncRNA from 1 species